UACGUAGGGUGCAAGCGUUAAUCGGAAUUACUGGGCGUAAAGCGUGCGCAGGCGGUUCGCUAAGACAGAUGUGAAAUCCCCGGGCUUAACCUGGGAACUGCAUUUGUGACUGGCGGGCUAGAGUAUGGCAGAGGGGGGUAGAAUUCCACGUGUAGCAGUGAGAUGCGUAGAGAUGUGGAGGAACACCGGUGGCGAAGGCGGCGAUCUGGGAAGAUACUGACGCUGAGGUGCGAAAGCGUGGGGAGCAAACAGG
rnacentral:rRNA from 1 species